rnacentral:rRNA from 1 species
UACAGAGGGGCAAGCGUUGUUCGGAAUUACUGGGCGUAAAGGCGCGUAGGCGGCCUGCUAAGUCGAACGUGAAAUCCCCGGGCUCAACCCGGGAACUGCGUCCGAUACUGGCAGGCUUGAAUUCGGGAGAGGGAUGCGGGAAUUCCAAGGUUGUAGCGGUGAAAUGACGUAGAUAUCUGGAGGAACACCGGUGGCGAAGGCGGCAUCCUGGGACCGAAAUUGGACGCUGAGG